UGGUAAUAGAGCAUUCGCCAUCAAGAAAGGGUUAUCACCUGGUAAGGGUUUUCUCCUAAUUGCUUUAUUAUUCUUUUCAUUGACAAUGGUUUUCAUUUGUUGGUAUUAAACCCCAUAGAUCGUUUUUUGCAGGAAGAGAUUACAACGUGCCCUGGCUUUUCGUAGCUUUGUUUUGUGCUUUUGCUAGAUAUUUGUUCUUCUUUUUUUCAAAGAGUGCUUUGAGGGACUAUAUCGGCAACGCUUUCAGAACUAAUGUUGCUUUAAGAGUUAUAUCAGGAAGCAAAAUCAAUUGCAAGAGAAUAAUUACGGAUUGAUGACCUGGAAACUAAAGUCAGAUUGAUGAGUUGGAGUUAUUUAUUCUAGAAGAUCACAUGUAGAUUAGUA
rnacentral:misc_RNA from 1 species